UGAGAAGGAAAGUGACUUCGUAUUUGAAA
rnacentral:piRNA from 1 species